GAGGGUGGAGCUCAGUUGGUAGAAUAUGUGUUUAACAUGCAUGAAGCCCUGGAUUCAAUCCCCAGCACCUCCC
rnacentral:tRNA from 1 species